AGACUGAGACCAGCCAGAUUCAGAAGACUGUGAGCUGCCUAAAGCCGCAACCAAACAGCUUUCCAAACAAUGAUCUGGACCUGAAACAUCCAGAGCCUGAAAGGGAUCUUGAUGAAGAAAUGCCUCAGCAAGGCUCAGAAGCCAUGCAUUCUUCUUCAGUGCAAGAUUUUGAAGAGACUGAGACCAGCCAGAUUCAGAAGACUGUGAGCUGCCUAAAGCCGCAACCAAACAGCUUUCCAAACAAUGAUCUGGACCUGAAACAUCCAGAGCCUGAAAGGGAUCUUGAUGAAGAAAUGCCUCAGCAAGGCUCAGAAGCCAUGCAUUCUUCUUCAGUGCAAGAUUUUGAAGAGACUGAGACCAGCCAGAUUCAGAAGACUGUGAGCUGCCUAAAGCCGCAACCAAACAGCUUUCCAAACAAUGAUCUGGACCUGAAACAUCCAGAGCCUGAAAGGUGUCACAAUCAUCGUCUGGUGUGCACAACAAUAUCAUCUUUGGACAAGUGCAUUCAGUGUGUGGGACUGGUUUCCUCCCUCAAGUGGCUUGGCUAUAAGUGCAAAGAUGAAAUUGCAUUAAGUGAUGCUGAAACAAAGGACAGUGAGAGUGAAUCAGAUGAUGAUGACACAGCACUCACAAUGUCGGCGUGUGGCACCAGUGAGCCUGUACAUGCAGUAGCUGAUUCCACAAACACAGCGCAGCUCCAAGACACUGUAGAUUGUGCAGAUGAAGGACCACUCACAAUGCCUGCAGCAAGUGAGACUGCUGCUCCCUCUGAAGAGAAAAAUGCUGCUCAAUCCCACAAUUCCCGAAGAGCUCCCAAAAACAUGUGGUCCAAGGCUGAGGUUGCUGCAGUGAUGAGGCAUUUUAAAGACCACAUAAACGAAGGGAAACUAGCCACCAAAAAUGAAUGCAGUCAUUGCAAAUUGGUAGAAGAUCCGGUGUUGGCAGGAAGAACAGUUCAAAACAUAAGAGAUUUUGUAAGAAACAGAGGAUUAACUGCAAAAAGGCAGAAAAAAAUGAACUAAAAUAACUGUUUAGCCAGAUGUGGUUUUACAUCUUGGUCAGAUUGCCAAUUGUUGUUAACACUGAUGUUCUGUUUAAAGAAAAAAAAAAGUUCUUGUUAAAUGUUUGUAUUUCAUAAUUUUUACAUUUAAUUUAUUUAGGGUUUUUUUUGACGGGUUAUAUUUAAAAUAAAAAAAUUAUAAAUGCUUAUUUUCUCCCCUUAAUAUUUACCUUUAAACUAUUAAAAUUCAUUUUAAAUGUUUUUAAUUUUUCUGUUUUCUAUAUUUUUAUAUUUCUGUGGGAAGCGUGGGCAUUUUUGUCCAUAGAUUUCUUUUUUUAUUUAUGGUUAAAAUUAAUGUUCAGAUCCAAGAACACUAAUAAAAUGAUGUUCCAGUAAUCCUGUGUCUUGUCAGAUGUGUAUUCAUGGUAAUGAUGAGCUAUUUAAAUAUUACAUCAUUGUCCCUUUAAAGACCCAAUAUUGGGUUUUUUUUGGACCUCAUAAAACACAUUGUUGUCAAGUGGACAAUGUCUCCAGAAAACACAAUAGAGUCUGGUUGGUGUGUAUCAGUGUAUCUAGACUUCUAUAGGGAGUGUAUGAG
ensembl:lncRNA